rnacentral:rRNA from 1 species
GACGAACGCUGGCGGCGUGCUUAACACAUGCAAGUCGAACGGAAAGGCCCUGCUUUUGUGGGGUGCUCGAGUGGCGAACGGGUGAGUAACACGUGAGUAACCUGCCCUUGACUUUGGGAUAACUUCAGGAAACUGGGGCUAAUACCGGAUAGGAGCUCCUGCUGCAUGGUGGGGGUUGGAAAGUUUCGGCGGUUGGGGAUGGACUCGCGGCUUAUCAGCUUGUUGGUGGGGUAGUGGCUUACCAAGGCUUUGACGGGUAGCCGGCCUGAGAGGGUGACCGGCCACAUUGGGACUGAGAUACGGCCCAGACUCCUACGGGAGGCAGCAGUGGGGAAUAUUGCAAAAUGGGCGGAAGCCUGAUGCAGCAACGCCGCGUGCGGGAUGACGGCCUUCGGGUUGUAAACCGCUUUCGCCUGUGACGAAGCGUGAGUGACGGUAAUGGGUAAAGAAACACCGGCUAACUACGUG